CCCUUAGAUGUUCUGGGCCGCACGCGCGCUACACUGAUUCAUGCAACAAGUUUUGUCCUUGGCUGAUAGGCCUGGGUAAUCUUUGAACGUGAAUCGUGAUGGGGAUAGAUGAUUGCAAUUAUUCAUCUUCAACGAGGAAUUCCUAGUAAACGCAAGUCAUCAGCUUGCAUUGAUUACGUCCCUGCCCUUUGUACACACCGCCCGUCGCACCUACCGAUUGGAUGGUCCGGUGAAGCCUCGGGAUUGUGGUUCUUGCCGCUUUAUUGUGGCGUGACCGCGAGAACUUGUCUAAACCUUAUCAUCUAGAGGAAGGUGAANUCGUANCA
rnacentral:rRNA from 1 species